rnacentral:rRNA from 1 species
UACGUAGGAUGCAAGCGUUGUCCGGAAUUAUUGGGCGUAAAGAGUUCGUAGGCGGUCUGUCGCGUCUGCUGUGAAAACCCGAGGCUCAACCUCGGGCCUGCAGUGGGUACGGGCAGACUAGAGUGCGGUAGGGGAGAAUGGAACUCCUGGUGUAGCGGUGGAAUGCGCAGAUAUCAGGAAGAACACCGAUGGCGAAGGCAGUUCUCUGGGCCGUAACUGACGCUGGAGGAAGCGAAAGCCGUGGGGAGCGAACAGG